rnacentral:rRNA from 1 species
CCAGCCAUGCCGCGUGCAGGAUGACGGCCCUAWGGGUUGUAAACUGCUUUUAUAURGGAAGAAACCCCYGUACGUGUAGGUAGCUGACGGUACUAUAMGAAUAAGCACCGGCUAACUCCGUGCCAGCAGCCGCGGUAAUACGGAGGGUGCAAGCGUUAUCCGGAUUUAUUGGGUUUAAAGGGUGCGCAGGCGGAACRAUAAGUCAGUGGUGAAAUCCUACAGCUCAACUGUAGAACUGCCAUUGAUACUGUCAUUCUUGAGUACAGUUGAAGUGGGCGGAAUGUGUCAUGUAGCGGUGAAAUGCAUAGAUAUGAUACAGAACACCGAUAGCGAAGGCAGCUCACUAAACUGUAACUGACGCUCAGGCACGAAAGCGUGGGGAGCRAACAGGAUUAGAUACCCUGGUAGUCCAC